UACGAAGGGGGCUAGCGUUGCUCGGAAUCACUGGGCGUAAAGCGCACGUAGGCGGCUUCUUAAGUCAGGGGUGAAAUCCUGGAGCUCAACUCCAGAACUGCCUUUGAUACUGAGAAGCUUGAGUUCGGGAGAGGUGAGUGGAACUGCGAGUGUAGAGGUGAAAUUCGUAGAUAUUCGCAAGAACACCAGUGGCGAAGGCGGCUCACUGGCCCGGUACUGACGCUGAGGUGCGAAAGCGGUGGGGAGCAAACAGG
rnacentral:rRNA from 1 species